AGUGAACGCUGGCGGUAGGCCUAAUACAUGCAAGUCGAACGGCAGCACAGUAAGAGCUCGCUCUUACGGGUGGCGAGUGGCGGAUGGGUGAGGAAUACAUCGGAAUCCACUUUUUCGUGGGGGAUAACGUAGGGCAACAUAUGCUACUACCGCACAUGAUCUACGGGUGAAAGCAGGGGAUCUUCGGACUUUGCGUGAUUGAAUGAGCCGAUGCCGGAUUAGCUAGUUGGCGAGGUAAAGGCCCACCAAGGCGACGAUCCGUAGCUGAUCUGAGAGGAUGAUCAGCCACACUGGAACUGAGACACGGUCCAGACUCCUACGGGAGGCAGCAGUGGGGAAUAUUGGACAAUGGGCGCAAGCCUGAUCCAGCCAUGCCGCGUGAGUGAAGAAGGCCUUCGGGUUGUAAAGCCCUUUUGUUAGGAAAGAAAAGCAGCAUAUUAAUACCCCGCUGUUCUGACGGUACCCAAAGAAUAAGCACCGGCUAACUUCGUG
rnacentral:rRNA from 1 species